rnacentral:rRNA from 1 species
UACGAAGGGGGCUAGCGUUGCUCGGAAUUACUGGGCGUAAAGCGCACGUAGGCGGACUCUUAAGUCGGGGGUGAAAGCCCAGGGCUCAACCCUGGAACUGCCUUCGAUACUGGGAGUCUUGAGUGUGGAAGAGGUUGGUGGAACUGCGAGUGUAGAGGUGAAAUUCGUAGAUAUUCGCAAGAACACCAGUGGCGAAGGCGGCCAACUGGUCCAUUACUGACGCUGAGGUGCGAAAGCGUGGGGAGCAAACAGGG